rnacentral:rRNA from 1 species
GACGAACGCUGGCGGCGUGCCUAAUACAUGCAAGUCGAGCGGAGACUGUGGAGCUUGCUCCACAAUCUUAGCGGCGGACGGGUGAGUAACACGUGGGCAACCUGCCCUGCAGAUCGGGAUAACUCCGGGAAACCGGUGCUAAUACCGAAUAGUUUUUUGCCCCUCCUGGGGCGGAACGGAAAGACGGUUUCGGCUGUCACUGCAGGAUGGGCCCGCGGCGCAUUAGCUAGUUGGUGGGGUAAUGGCCCACCAAGGCGACGAUGCGUAGCCGACCUGAGAGGGUGAUCGGCCACACUGGGACUGAGACACGGCCCAGACUCCUACGGGAGGCAGCAGUAGGGAAUCUUCCGCAAUGGACGCAAGUCUGACGGAGCAACGCCGCGUGAGUGACGAAGGUUUUCGGAUCGUAAAACUCUGUUGUGAGGGAAGAACAAGUACCAAGUAACUACUGGUACCUUGACGGUACCUCACCAGAAAGCCACGGCUAACUACGUGCCAGCAGCCGCGGUAAUAC